ACCAUUUUAUUUUCAUCAUCUUUAACAAAACGUUAUUAUGUUCCGACAAUCUUCAGGCACCUAUUUCUGGGCGAAAAUUGCUACAUUUAGUGCCAAUACAAUAUCAUACUUUCAGUGCAACAUUUGGGUGAAGUCAUUUCGAUUUUUUUAUAAAAAUGUUCGCGGUAAUUUUCCUUGGUACAUCAAAUACUCUACCUACACCAAUUUUAAUAAUAAUUGAAAAUAUUAUAAAACCCCUAAACGCUAAAUGCUCGUCGAUCAAUUUAGGAGUCCGAUUUCAGGAUAUUGCAGUUUUCCUGGCAUCAUAUUUUUGACUUCCACUGUCUGAGCCACUUCAAGCAUCCGCAAUUUUUGCUCACCAAGAUAACUGAUUAUCUGAUCCUCAUUUUUGAAAAGCUCCAUUUCCUCCAAAACAUCAUCCCGCAGGGCUGCGAUUCUCUCCUUCAAAACCCCAUACAUCUGUCGAUUUCUCGUCGGCUCGUUCAUAAAUUCCGACAAAUCUUCGUUCAACUCAUCGAUAGCUUUCCGAGCCCAUUCGGAGUUUUCGCAUAUCGCCGUCAAAUCACCAAGUCCCGCAUGAUCGUUCAUCAUUGAGAUCAGUUCUGUUUCCGAUACGGGUUCCGAUGGAAUGCUUCCAUUACAACCGCAGAGUCUUCGCACACCGGACACGAUAUUUUUGAUUGCAGUGGGUAUAACACGAGCCAGCAGAAUCCACCCAUCGACGUGAUCGAACAAUCUGGGUGUUUCGUAGGAAGUGAAUAACAAUGAAGACUCCUGUCCUUCGCAAGAAACACUCGGAAUACCGUUGUAAUAGAUUGGAUAACAACUCUGGAAGCGAUCUUGUGUUAUCUCAGCGUGGUAAGUUUUGUAAUGUAUGGAAGUUUGGGAGUGGUGUCCGUAACAUUUGAUGGAUGGAUUUCCGUCAUUGUUGGGGUGCAGUUGGAAGCAAUUGGAUAUCGUAAAAGUUUUACCCACAGAAGAUUUAGCUUGUGACGAAUAAGUGUUCAUUUCUUUCGAUUUUGGGAUCACCGGAGGGUUGUGAUUCCCAAAACGGAAGCUGAUGAGGUUUAGAAAUAAGCGAGAGAAGCUCGACGCACCGGAUGAUGUGCUGUUGUAUUGUGAAUCCUCCAUUAUACUCCGUUUUAGACGAUAUGAUCCAUCUUUGACUUUUGGGUAUUCCGUUAAGUCUAAAUUAUUUGCCAGAUAAUCAGAAAUUGAAGUGGCUUUUUCUAUUUGAUUGAUGAUUUCCAACGCUAUACCAAGCUCGGGAACUUUAUCGUUGUCUACGAUUUUAGAUAUUCUCAACGAGGAUACUGUGGUGUAGAGUAAAACGUUGUACGAGCCUUUUCCGAUAACUUUCAGAUUUCCGGAAUAAGCGUGUAGAAUGUGGCGGGUAUUAGAAAUUUGUUUCGACCAGUCACUUCCUAAGUGCUGCUUGAAGUUGAGGAAUGCUAUACUUAAUUGCUUGCUGCUUAUCAACUCACCGACUCUUUGGGAAAUUAAUUUGAAUUUUUCUGGUAAAUUACUCAAGAAUCUGACUGUUGAUGUAGCUCUCACAGCGCCGUUGAACAAUGACAUGUACAAUCCUGGUUUUGAGAAGUCCCAUUUUGAAGGAUCGAACUCUCCGUUCUGUUGGAUCACUCCUAGAAUGUAGGCGAAUCCAGUGGUUAGAAUCAAUUUGCCACCUAUGAACAAUCCUUUCCCAACUGUAGAGGUGAUGGCUGAGUACGAACUAGCCAAAUUGUGUGGAUUUGUCAUUACAUUCACACUCGUUGAAAUUCCGGCGAAAAAUGCAUUCCACGUUGCAGGUGAUUUCAUAUCCCAAUGAUCGGGAUUCCAAUCAUUGUUGGCUGCGGCCAUGGAAAAGUACGAAAAUCCAAUUCCACUACCGACCAUAAUGCUCAAAGAAGUGCUCACGCUGAGUCCUAGGGUUGUAGUAAAAUAUGCGAAAGUUGCCACUGCACUGGAUGGUAGGGUGGCUCCCGCCAGUGCACCAGUUAUUAAUGCCAACCAUGUAUUACCGCUCUUCCAAUUCCACUCGGUGGGAUCCCACGAUCCAUUAGCUGCCGCCGCUCCCAGAUACGCUCCUACAAUUGCCAAUGCUAUGGCAAUCAAGGUCAUGAAGAAUUGUCCGUCUGGAUCCACCAGACCUAUAGGGCUAUUACCAGCGUAAAUGUAAGGACUAGCGUAUUGGUUCUUGGGAUCAAUCUGAUAGAACCGUCCAAUUUCCGGGUCAUACAAUCGUGUAUGGUAGUUGUACAGACCGGUUUCCUCAUCCCAUUCUUGGCCGGUGUAGAGAUAGGAGAGUGCACCAUCCAGAUCUCUCUCAGAUUUGCGGAAAAUUAUUCCGAACGGUAGAUAGUCGUAAGCGGCUUUAACUUCACCGUCCUUGAUCACCAACCUUGUGGAUCCUUCAUGGUCUGUGAACACACUGUAGAAUUCGUCAUUUCUGACGAACCCAACCAGGCCUUGAUCUGAGUAAACAUAGCUAGUAACCUGUAUGUCCGGUGUUUUAUUCUGGGCUACGUAGGUCAAUUGCAAAUCUACAAGCACAUUCCUGUUCAAAUCUCUUAUGUAGUACUUUUCUUUACUCACAUACCCAUCUUUCUCGAUAACUUGUUUGAAAGUUCGUUCUCCUCGUACGUCGUACUCGAAUUUCAGCUUUCUUCCAUUGCUCAUGUGAAUACUGGACGGUCUAUUCAGCAAGGGAUCGUAUUCGAUCUUCUCUAUGUUCUUAUGCUGCGCGACAGUGACACUUCCCUCGCUAUUGUGUACAAUUGCGUACGCGAUGAUGGAGUUUUCAGAAUCGUAAGUGUCAGUUUUUGUGACUGUGUUUAUUUGAUUGGUUCCAUUGGUAUAUUCAAACGAAUACCGAAUAGAACCCUUCCUGAACAAACGAUGGUUCCCAUUGGCGUCAAAGCGACACGACAGUACAUCAGCUGGCGAUUCUCCUAGGCGUGUUGCAAAGUGUUUGUGAAGUUUCUGGACAAUUUGAGGAAUAUACUGCGAGUAAGAUGUAAGCACAUUUCGGAAUCUAUCGUCCAAUGCGUUCAAUGUUUUGUUGGAAUUUAUGUCUAUCAUAUUGUGGGUUUGCAUGUUUUCCUUCAAUUCAGUACAAUCGAAUUGUUCGCAGUUUUCGCAAUGUUCGAACCAUUUUAAGCAUUUUCUCAUGAAGUAUGCAUCUGACAAAGUUUUCAUUUUAGAUACAGCUUUUAACAUAAAUGCCUGGACGUAUGAUUUAUUCGGUAUCAGUUCAUUGAGCAAAGAUCUAUUCCCAGGUAAUCCUUCGCAUAUUCCACCAUGAUAACAAUUGUUCGAAACGAAGUCGUUUUCCAUAAGAAUGUUCCAGAUUUCGUUGGAUACGGUUUCAUUUAUGCCUUUAAUGGAUGAGAAACUUGUUUCUACAAGCGGUUUCAAUGAAGUUUCCGUUUGAGAUUGGAAAUAUUUCGCUCUAAUCAGUUGUUCGUGAUUGUCAUAAUCGUAAGAGUGACCAUAGUAGCGGGGAAACUGAUUUACAUGAAAUGCCUUGUAGAACUGUUUCGAUCUGCAGGCUUCACUGAUGGAGCUAUCGAACUUAGGAUAGAAUGAUUUUAUUGGAUGGAAAUAGUUGUCGUAAUACCUCUUCAAUUGAAGUUGUUUGAUGCAAAACUCUGUGAGGGUUCUGUCGUAAGAAUCGAUGCCAUCCAACCGCAGUUUGGAUAAUGCUGGAUUGCUCCGCUCAAACCACGUAGCAUUAAAGGUGGUUCUUGAAAUCAAGCCUUCAAAAAUCAUGGAGAAGGCAUUACCAUAUCCAUCACCUUCCAGGUAGCUCACCGUUUCUUCCAAAAACAUGUCAGAAAUCCGUUUCAGAUAGCCGGGUUCGUUGUAACUGUACUCUCGUCUGUAGGAAUAGGAGGAACUUGGUUCGAACUGCAUUUCCCGUACCAAGCCAUCUGCGUUGUAUUGCAGUUUGACGAACUUUUCUGGAUCUGCCGUGGUCCCAAUGGCGAUCAUAUCUCCAGCGUUGUUAUAGGCAUACCUGACUUUGAAACCGGUACCAUUCACGCCAAUAGGGUAUUGUAUCAUGGAAAGUUUGUCGUUGAGAUAUUCAUAAUCGAUUGCGUACGAUGUGUUCAGCGUUGGCACAAUGUAUAUCUUCUUCACAAUUCUGUUAGCGUCAUCGUUGAUUAAACUCUCUAUCAUGUGCUUGUCUCCAAUGCGUCUGAUCGAUUGUUGCGAUCUAUGUCUCAUAUUGGGCGAUUCGUCGUACUCUCCGUGGUAGUAUUCAAUAUAGUUUUUGGAGUCAGGUAUCAAUGUGCUACCAUUUAAAUAUUUACUGAACUCAGUUGAAGCAACGUCUACAAUAGCUUCUUUGACAAUUUGUCCAGUUGAUCCAUAUGAGAAGAAAAUGGUCUUAUCAGUGUUGUUAUGGUUGUCCAUGUGCACUAAAAAUCUCACAACGUCACGGUCGUAGAUGUAUUGUUGAGUGCCUGAGUCUGGCAUUUGUUUCCUCAACAUCUGACCCUUAUCGUUGUAAGUAUAGCGAACGCCCCAUUGAUCCUGUAACUUCAACUCAGUCUGCGUCAAGUUUCUGUCCCAAAACGGAAUCGUUAGAUUCAGUGUAGCUGUCGCGUUGUGGUACAUAGGUGGCAACUCCAGACUAAGGUUACCUUCGCUGUCAUAUUCAUAAGUUGUUAUUCGUGCAUCGGAACUGUCACCUGCCACGAAAUAAGCUACCUUUUGGUUAUUGGCAUCGUUCACAACGACAUGAAAGGUUUUGUUCUGCCGUAUUUCUACCUGCUGCGUGAAGCCGCUCGUAGAAGGAAACAGUUUAUCUAGCACAGCGUAUUUGGACUCUCUAGCCAACUGCCUGGAAUAUUUGCUGUCUUCCGAAAAGAUCUUUCCCGGCAUUGAAAUCGUCACUUCUUCGGUGAUGGGACUGUCUGCAUAAUCCUUCCGGAAAUAUGGGUACCCUUCACAAUCCGGGUUCAAGUCAUGGACGAGUCCUGUCAACUGGUUAGAUUCCACUGAUUCGAUGAAUUUCUCGUGGAAAUCGAAGAACAAACUACCAUUUUUCUCCACGGUUGUCCAUUUUGUGUUGACGAUAGAACGAUCGAUUUCAUCGUACAGAACUUCUUUGAUUCUAACGAAGUUCUCGUCUUGCAUGGUAAGCGUUUGCCUAGGUAAUCCAAGUCGAUUGUAGUAGGUGAUCUUCAUGGAAGGAUCAUACAGCACAAGCAUUUCGUUGAUCGCUACCGAGCCGGAUAUUGUAAGGCCAACUUUUCCAAGCCUGGAUAUUGAAUGGGACACUUCAGAAGUGAGACUGCCUUCAAACCAUAUAGCUCUGUGUGACUUUGAUAUAAAUACGACGAUUUCGCCAUAAUCAGAAAUGUUUCCAUUCGUUUUGCAUGAUUUUUUGGAAGAUUUACAUAGGACUUCAAUUGAUAAGUUAUCAACUACAAGUUUUAUUUCAGCAUCAGUGGAAUCUAAAUUGUAUACGAAUCUGACUACGAAUGAAUCACAAUUAGAAGACAGAUCUUUACUGAUCGUAUCCGUCGAGUUUGAAACAUGGGUCAACGUUCCACUUUGCAUAGUCCAUAUAUCUUUCUUAAUUUCAGGAGUCCAGCUUGAAGGAUUAUUGAAGCAUUCGAUUUCUCCGUUCCUAGGCCUGAUCUCCAUGACAUGCGGUAACUUCUGCGAUCCUCUGAUGUUGUACGACUUGGAGUACGUUAUAAAAUCAGUCACUUUUCCCAUUUCGGACACAUAAACGACACGAUUUCCGUGGGAAUCCAGCAGAUACUGAGUCAGCAGCCCACUGUUGUGCAUCACUCUGCUGACUCCCCAGAACGGUCGACGAUAGACGUAAGCCCGGAAGUCGACAUUCAUCGGGGAGAAUCUUACAUGAUCAACGCUGAGGGUUUUAUCUGCUUGUGGCUUUAUUGUGACGGUUACAGACGUAGGUUUUACUAAGUUCGUCGUAGUUAUGUUCAGUUCGACGUAAAACCAGCCUGUUGCUAUUGCAUGUAGCACCUUGGGUUUUCCGAUUUUAUACUUUUGGGCAUCAUCCGAGUUAACAGAUACAAAGUUCAGUACCUCUUCGAUUUUUUCAGGCGUAUCUGUUCUCAGCAAGCAGGAAAACAGGUACGUUUCAUUUGCACUUCUUAUGUGAAGAAUUCCUUCAAAAGCAUCCUCAGAUACAAGUUGAAGGAACCGAUUACCACCUUCCGUUUUUAUUUUUUUAUCAUCGAACUUCCAUCGAAGCGUAUUGAACAUUUUUCUUUCAUAUUCCUCAAACCCGUAGUAUGAAUAGUCACCAUCUUGAACAUUCUUUGGAGCCAUGUCCACUAUUGACAAACGGCCCGCUUUAUCAGUAAGGACCGUCGCAGGGUUGGGAUUUUCACGCGCUUCUUCGUGCAUUGGGUCUAUAUAUUUGAUCAGAUUACCUUCGCUGUCUCUGGCACUGCGUCGCAACUCCCGGGUUUUCAUGUCAUAACUGUGCUGGUACCACCCAUAUCUGGUUUUGUUACCCCCGGGAAGUAUUUUGCUAUCAGUGAAAACGUAUCCAUUCGAUACACCAUCCAGCUCCAUUCCGCCAUUUUCGUAUGUGGUAACUCGCGAUACGUUCGGGCUCAGUUCCAACGUUUGCUUUAUUAAAACUUCAACUUUUGAUUGUUGCAUGGAUUUGACUGGUAAUAACGUCAGUUUAGUGCUGUUUUCAGAUGUUGUAACUACUACCAUUUUGUUACUGAGGGUACUCAAUUUUUCAUCAUUAUUCAGUUUUACUACUUUGUUUUCCUCAAAAAGGUACAAUGACGGUGGACCAUCCGUAGUUUGUGAAGCGAAAUAAUGAGGCCAUACUAGUUUGACUGAUUCGGAGACAGUGGUAUUCGAAUCAUAAAUGACUACAGUAUCGUUGUAAACCUUGUAUGUAUCUGAAUCGCUGGAUUUUUUUACAAUUUUCAGUUUAUCUCGCAAUACUAAAUCUACAUCUGGUUUUGGGUCCUUUUCAGUCCAUUCCUUUUCGUUGUAGGAAAUUAUUUUCCCACCGGUUUGGAUGCCUUGCUCAUCAGUGGAAAUAGCCAACAGCGAUACAUCGAAAGCAAGAGGAUUUUUGUCCAAAAUCUCUGUUUCAAAUGCUGCCAUAGAAUUGCUGUAUUUUAUUAUCGCGUUCAUGGUUUUGCCAACUUUAUCCUCAUCAGUCAGAGCAGAUAGCAUUUCUCCAUGAAAUGUGCUGUUAUAAAGAUCAACGGAUGGUCCACUACAGCUGAUAGUAGUAGCAUAUUUCUCCAAGUACGUCAUGUAUCCCAGAGUACAUGAAUCAUCGUUUUCUGAUUUGACCUUCAAUUUGAAGCUUUCAACGUAUCCCAGAUUUAUCCUCCAUUGAUCACUUUUGACUAUCUCAUUAUUCACAUCCAGUUCUCUUUGUCUUAGACAUAUUUUCAAAACUCCGUUGAUGAUUUCCAGUUCCCGCAAUAUGAUGAAGUUUUUGUACGUUUGAAUCAUACCCAAUUUCAGUGCUCGUAUAAGAUUUGCUUUCACCUCGUCUGUCAACAUGAAUCGAUUUAGCGUAGAGAUUGUACGUUGGAUGUAGUCCUCAUCAUCGCUAUUGUAUUUCCCCGUUAGGGACUGUUUGUUUAGUGUAUAUUGCAGAACAAAUUUUCGAUCGUCAUAGAAUAGAAGCCCUCGGCUAGUUGCAUGCAUCGCAACAUUGUUGGUGAUAUUUUGAAAGUAGAAUACCAAAGCGUCAUCAGUUCCCAUAGCGAUACUUUGCAGUUUUUCAGCAUCAGCCACAUAAACGUAGUUAGUAUUGCUAGUAAUGAUUGCAUCAGACGUUAAAUUUUGCGUAGUUGUAUCCCAUUUGUCUUCAGUAAACCUAAAGAUAUCCAGAAUCUUCUCCGUUUUGAAUGUUCUUAUGAUUCCAAACAGAUCUUCCAGAGUGACGACUUGGUACGCAGAGAAUGGCUCUUGAUCAUUGAGUAACGUACUGUUGAAUGUCUUCGAAGUGUGGUAUCCACCGAGUACGUCACGUACAUUUAUCCUCACAUAUGUCUUAUCAGGUGCGGCUGUAGCGAUAACGCUAUAAUCAGGUCCGUAGUUUAUGGUGAAAUCUCGACUAGCUAGUUCCAGUUCAUUACGGUUU
rnacentral:lncRNA from 1 species